AAAUUGCUGUGGUAUUUUGACUAUACAAAGGUAUUGAAAUAAGAUUUUAAUUGAAUGCUAAGAGAAUGGAAUUUCAGAAAAAAACUUUUUUCAAGUUAAAAAUUGAAAUUUUUUUAAUUUGUGCAGAAACAAUUAUUAAUAUUAAGGACAAGAAGACCCUAUGAAUUUAUAAAUUUUAUUUAAUAUGUAACUACUAUUGAAAAAAUUUUAGCUGGGGCGGCGGAAAAAUAUUUAAAACUUUUUUAAAAUAAAAUGACCCAUUAUUAAUGAUUAUAUGUUAAAUACUCUAGGGAUAACAGCGUUAUAUUUUUUGAUAGAUCAUAUUGACAAAAAAGUUUGCGACCUCGAUGUUGGAUUAGGAUACUUUUUUAAUGCAGAUAUUAAAAAAGAAAGUUUGUUCAAC
rnacentral:rRNA from 1 species